UACUGGCCUUGUAAUUCUAUGAUUUUGGCAGCAAACAAACUUCUUAUUCUCUGAGAAUAAAGAUUCAUUUGUUAGAUGCAGAUCAGAUCUGGCAAAACAAAGAAGCCCCGCACCUGGAUGGGUUCUUGUGAAUUGUACUGAACCCCGUGUUCUACUAUACAGGCCUUAAAAAAAUAUCACAAUCCACUUUCCCGGCCUCCAUCUUCAACCUGCAGACUUAGCAGAUCAUACUGACCUAGCUUCUGCUCUACAUACAUGUCUUAACAUUCAACAAGAAAUUCAACACCAUUUUGUUGCAGAAGAGUAAACUGGUAAACGAAUUCUUUAUCUAGUUCCAUCUAUUGUACCACCUAUGAAUCCAAAAAUAAACUAUGCAGGAGGUAUGUAGAUUCUUUUUUCACUUAGCUUCCAUACUUGUUUACUUAUUUCAUUAACAUGAAUAGUAGAAUACUAGCUAUUUUAUAUCUAAUAAUUACAGCAGAUGAAACUAGUGAAAUUUAAAUAUGUAUAUAUUAAUUGAAAAGUGAAGUAAUUAAUCAUCAAAUACAUACUAUAACUUAUUUCAA